rnacentral:lncRNA from 1 species
GUACAUCAGAGUUUAUUCCAUGCAGCUAUUUGCUUUGAUUUUAUUAUUCUUCCUGGUUCCCAUUGCACUGUACACUGGAUUAUAUAGGAAAUUGACAGGAUUGGUUGAUCAUAAUGCCAUUCAAAAGGAGAAGAAGGAAGGAAGGAAGGCGGGACAAAAAAAAACCGUGUUGGGUACUUUCGAGUUGAGAAGAAUGAUUACAGCUGAAGAAGACACUGACACAGAAACACAGGGGUAAGUCACCUGUAACUUGAGGGACGGAGAGACAGAAGCACAGCGAAAGAAAGAGAGCGUAAGAAAGUGAAAGACAGAGAAAAGAGAGAGAGUCAGAAAGAGAGAAAACAUGAGUCUGAUUAACCUAUAUAUAAAUAGACCUGAUAAAAUCUCUUUAAACCUGCUUUGCUCUGAAGCCCAUUUGUUGUAGCUACCAUAGAACAGUCACUGUUCAAUCCAAGCUAUCUUCAUACUCUGGUAACAACACCAUUAAAAACAUUUAUUGUCAUGAGCCUUGAUAUAAAGGCUGUGGAAUUCAACCAUGAUACACUACGUGACCAAAAGUAUGUGGACACCUUUUCGUCGAACAUCUCAUUCCAAAAUCAUGAGAAUUAAUAUGGAGUUGGUCCCCCCCCCCCCUUUUGCUGCUAUAACAGCCUCCACUCUUCUGGGAAGGCUUUCCACUAGAUGUUGGAACAUUACUGCGGGGGACUUCCUUCCAUUCAGCCAUAAGAGCAUUAGUGAGGUCGGACACUGAUGUUGGGCGAUUAGGGCCUGGCUCGCAGUCGGCGUUCCAAUUCAUCCCAAAGGUGUUCGAUGGGGUUGAGGUCAGGGCUCUGUGAAGGCCAGUCAAGUUCUUCCACACCGAUCUCGACAAACCAUUUCUGUAUGGACCUCGCUUUGUGCACGGGGGCAUUAACAUGCUGAAACAGAAAAGAGCUUUCCCCAAACCUGCCUCGUUAAAUAAAUACAAAUAAAAUAAAAACUGUUGCCGCAAAGUUGGAAGCACAGAAUCAUCUAGAAUGUCAUUGUAUGUUUUGUAUGUUGCAGCAUUAAGAUUUCCCUUCACUGGAACUAAGAGGCUUAGCUCGACGCGUGAAAAACAAGCCCCAGACCAUUAUUCCUCCUCCACCAAACUUUACAGUUGGCAUUAUGCAUUCAGGCAAGUAGCGUUCUACUGGCAUCCGCCAAACCCAGAUAUGUCCAACGGACUGUGGUGAAGUGUGAUUCAUCACUCCAGAGAACGCUUUUCCACUGCUCCAGAGUCCAAUUGCAGCGAGUUUUACACCGCUCCAGCCGACGCUUGGCAUUGCGCAUGGUGAUCUUAGGCUUGUGUGUUGCUGCUCAGCCAUGGAAACCCAUUUCAUGAAGCUCCUGACAAACAGUUCUUGUGCUGACGUUGCUUCCAAGAGGCAGUUUGGAACUUGGUAGUGAGUGUUGCAACUGAGGACAGACAAUUUUUACGCACUUCAUCACUCGGCGGUCCCGUUCUGUGAGCUUGUGUGGCCUACCUACGAAUUUGACGAAUUGACUUAUUGGAAAGGUGGGCAUCCUGUGAUGGUGCCACAUUGAAAGUCACUAAGCUCUUCAGUACAGGCCAUUCAACUGCCAAUGUUUGUCUAUGGAGAUUGCAUGGCUGUGUGCUCGAUUUUAUACACCUGUCAGCAACGGGUCUGGCUGAAAUAGCCGAAUCCACUAAUUUGAAGGCGUGUCCACAUACUUUUAGCCAUGUAGUGUAUGUGACUUCAACAGCAAGUGUUAUAGUGAUGGCUCUAGAUAGAAUGAUGGACAGACAAUGCUGACAAACCAGGGCAGCAGGCAGGCAGCAGGCGACAUGGGUCAGCAUAGUGCUGGUUGUAGUUAAGAUACACAGUACAAAACAGGAAGGCUGGCUACUACUUCCUCCUGAAGGUUCCUAAUCAGACAGACUACUGACUAACCCUAACCCAGACUACUGACUAACCCAGACUACUGACUAACCCUAACCCAGACUACUGACUAACCCCAGACUACUGACUAACCCUAACCCAGACUACUGACUAACCCAGACUACUGACUAACCCUAACCCAGACUACUGACUAACCCAGACUACUGACUAACCCCAGACUACUGACUAACCCAGACUACUGACUAACCCUAACCCAGACUACUGACUAACCCCAGACUACUGACUAACCCUAACCCAGACUACUGACUAACCCAGACUACUGACUACUGACUAACCCCAGACUACUGACUAACCCAGACUACUGACUAACCCAGACUACUGACUACUGACUAACCCAGACUACUGACUACUAACUAACCCCAGACUACUGACUAACCCAGACUACUGACUAACCCAGACUACUGACUACUGACUAACCCCAGACUACUGACUAACCCCAGACUACUGACUAACCCCAGACUACUGACUACUGACUAACCCAGACUACUGACUAACCCAGACUACAGACUAACCCAGACUACAGACUACUGACUAACCCAGACUACUGACUAACCCAGACUACUGACUAACCCAGACUACUGACUACUGACUAACCCAGACUACUGACUACUGACUAACCCAGACUACUGACUAACCCAGACUACAGACUAACCCAGACUACAGACUACUGACUAACCCCAGGCUCAUAUCAGACAGAUGAUUAUGUUGUAAUAGAUCCAACAGAGCCGUACUAUAUGUAUACACAUGUAUAUAUGGCUCUGGUUCCCAGCAGCUGCCAAUAGACAGAUAAUACUAGAGAGAUAGCUAGGUAGAGCAGCUGCCAAUAGAGGGAUAAUACUAGAGAGAUAGUUAGGUAGAGCAGCUGCCAAUAGACAGAUAAUACUAGAGAGAUAGCUAGGUAGAGCAGCUGCCAAUAGAGGGAUAAUACUAGAGAGAUAGUUAGGUAGAGCAGCUGCCAAUAGACAGAUAAUACUAGAGAGAUAGCUAGGUAGAGCAGCUGCCAAUAGAGGGAUAAUACUAGAGAGAUAGUUAGGUAGAUCAGCUGCCAAUAGACAGAUAAUACUAGAGAGAUAGUUAGGUAGAGCAGCUGCCAAUAGAGGGAUAAUACUAGAGAGAUAGUUAGGUAGAGUAGCUGCCAAUAGAGGGAUAAUACUAGAGAGAUAGCUAGGUAGAUCAGCUGCCAAUAGACAGAUAAUACUAGAGAGAUAGUUAGGUAGAGCAGCUACCAAUAGAGGGAUAAUACUAGAGAGAUAGUUAGGUAGAGUUGCUGCCAAUAGACAGAUAAUACUAGAGAGAUAGUUAGGUAGAGCAGCUGCCAAUAGACAGAUAAUACUAGAGAGAUAGCUAGGUAGAGCAGCUGCCAAUAGAGGGAUAAUACUAGAGAGAUAGUUAGGUAGAUCAGCUGCCAAUAGACAGAUAAUACUAGAGAGAUAGUUAGGUAGAGCAGCUACCAAUAGAGGGAUUAUACUAGAGAGAUAGCUAGGUAGAGCAGCUGCCAAUAGAGGGAUAAUACUAGAGAGAUAGUUAGGUAGAGCAGCUGUCAAUAGAGGGAUAAUACUAGAGAGAUAGUUAGGUAGAGCAGCUGCCAAUAGACAGAUAAUACUAGAGAGAUAGCUAGGUAGAGCAGCUGCCAAUAGAGGGAUAAUACUAGAGAGAUAGUUAGGCUGCCAAUAGAGGGAUAAUACUAGAGAGAUAGCUAGGUUCUUCAACCGUACAUACCCAAGACUGAUCAACAAAAUGAAUUAUUUUUUAAAUCCAAAGACAUGACAUGUACAUUAAUAACACCAUUCAUCACUCAGCGUGUAAUUGUGUUUUCUGUUAAAUUAUAAUAAUAAUUGUGUUAAAGAUAACCAAUCAUUCAAAAGCUUCCUG